AUGCUAGUCGAACGACCAGAACUAUGUCUGGAAGUGGCACACUGCUCAGUAACACGUAGCUAACCUACCCUUAGGACGUGGAUACCCCCGAGAAAUUGGGGUUAAUCCGCGAUAGAUGUAAUGUCCUGGAAUGGUAUUACGUCUAAAGGUAUUUCAUACAUGUUUGAAAUUGCCUAAGGAUGGGGCUGCGGCCGAUCAGGCUGUUGGUGAGGUAAUGGCUCACCAAACCUUUGACCGGUACGGGCCAUGAGAGUGGUAGCCCGGAGAUGGACACUGAGACAAGGGUCCAGGCCCUAGGGGCGCAGCAACCGCGAAACCUCCACAAUGCACUCACGUGCGAUGGAGCUAUCUCGAGUGCCACCUGAUGAAGGUGGCUUUUCCUAGGUCUUAAAGCCUUGGGAAUAGAGGGGGGCAAGACUGGUGUCAGCCGCCGCGGUAACACCAGCCCCUCGAGUGGUGGGGAUGAUUAUUUGGCCUAAAGCGUCCGUAGCCGGCCGAGCAAGUCUUCCGUUAAAUCCAGCGUCUCAAGCGUUGGACCGCGGGAGAUACUACACGGCUAGAGAGUGGGAGAGGUCAGCGGUAUUCUGGGGGUAAGGGCGAAAUCUUUUGAUCCCCGGAGGACCACCAGUGGCGAAGGCUGCUGACUAGAACACGUCUGACGGUCAGGGACGAAAGCUGGGGUAGCGAACCGGAUUAGAUACCCGGGUAGUCCCAGCCGUAAACGAUGCAUGCUAGGUGUUGGGUUGGCCACGAGCCACCCCAGUGCCGCAGGGAAGCCGUUAAGCAUGCCGCCUGGGAAGUACGAUCGCAAGGUUGAAACUUAAAGGAAUUGGCGGGGGAGCACCACCAGGCGUGAAGCCUGCGGUUUAAUUGGAUUCAACGCCGGAA
rnacentral:rRNA from 1 species